rnacentral:rRNA from 1 species
AUUGAACGCUGGCGGCAUGCCUUACACAUGCAAGUCGAACGGUAACAGGUCUUCGGAUGCUGACGAGUGGCGAACGGGUGAGUAAUACAUCGGAACGUGCCUAGUAGUGGGGGAUAACUACUCGAAAGAGUGGCUAAUACCGCAUGAGAUCUACGGAUGAAAGCAGGGGAUCGCAAGACCUUGUGCUACUAGAGCGGCCGAUGACAGAUUAGGUAGUUGGUGGGAUAAAAGCUUACCAAGCCGACGAUCUGUAGCUGGUCUGAGAGGACGAUCAGCCACACUGGGACUGAGACACGGCCCAGACUCCUACGGGAGGCAGCAGUGGGGAAUUUUGGACAAUGGGCGAAAGCCUGAUCCAGCAAUGCCGCGUGCAGGAUGAAGGCCUUCGGGUUGUAAACUGCUUUUGUACGGAACGAAAAGCCCCGGGUUAAUACCCUGGGGUCAUGACGGUACCGUAAGAAUAAGCACCGGCUAACUACGUGCCAGCAGCCGCCGCCG